UGGGACGAGGAGGUAGCAAUGCCCAACAGGUGAAGUGCGGUAGAUUUUCUCGUGAAACAGGUUCUCUAAACGACCAAAACACACGAUUAUGGCGGUCGCAACCAGCAACGCGCUUUUGUGACCCCAAAUGGGCUCGUUGCUACUUCAUGCAUCUCUCUAUAUUAUAUACGUAGGGUUUGGUAGGGUUCUUUUCUUUGUUUUUUAGCAAGGAUUUGAUCGAGGACAAGCGCUUGAGGCGGGUUACGUCUAAGAGAGACUAAAGGUGGGUAGCGUGGCGAAGCGGAAUGGAGGAGGAGAGGAGGCUGAGGGGCCUGUGGGGGGAGGCAAGAGAGCUGAGCCUCGGCACCUCCGGCCAGGUGGACUGCCUCGACGCGCCCCCAUCCCCUCUCCGCUUCCUCCGAGACUACGUCUCCGCCAACAAGCCCUGCCUCGUCUCCCGAGCUGCCACCCGCGGCUGGCCCGCCAUCUCUCUCUGGUCCGACGACGCCUACCUCCGCCGCGUCCUCCACGGCUGUGCCGUCUCCGUCCACCUCACCCCCCACGGCCGCGCCGACUCCCUCGUCCCCCGCCCUUCCGCCUGCGGCCGCCCACGCGGCCUCUGCUUCGCCUCCGCCGCCGUCCGCUCGAUGGAUUUCUCCGACGCCCUCGCGCUGAUCGCCGCCACCGGCUCGCCGUCGUCGCCGACCGUGGCAUACGCCCAGCAGCAGAACGACUGCUUCCGGGAGGAGUACUCGGCACUGGCGGGGGACGUGGAGCCGGACGUCCCAUGGGCCACCGAGGCGCUCGGCUGCCUCCCGGAAGCCGUGAACCUCUGGAUCGGGAACGGUCGGUCGGAGACAUCGUUCCACAAGGACCACUAUGAGAACCUCUACGCCGUAAUCACCGGGGAGAAGCACUUCCUCCUGCUGCCCCCAACAGACGUCCACCGCCUCUACAUCCGCCAUUACCCGGCUGCCCGCUACGUGCUCGACGAUGGGAAAGACGCCACGGGGGAGUUGCACUUGGAAUUGGAAGAGCCGGAGAGGCAGGUGCCGUGGUGCAGCGUGGAUCCGUACCCGGAGACGCCCGAGUCAAUGGCGGAGCAGAGGGAGGCCUUCCCCCUCUACUUCGACGGCCCCAAGCCUUUCGAAUGCAUCGUCAAGGCUGGGGAGAUCCUCUACCUGCCUAGCAUGUGGUUUCAUCAUGUGAGGCAAACACCCGACCGCAAUGGGCGCACCAUUGCUGUCAACUACUGGUACGACAUGCAAUUUGAUAUCAAAUACGCGUACUUCAACUUCUUGCAAUCCAUCGACUGCACCCCUCCUGCUGGAAAGCCUUCAGCGGAGGUCUGUAAUCGUGAUGCGUCCGACCAUUCGGAUGAUGCUGAACCUGAAAUCUAUGAGACUAGUUUGGUGUCGCACUCAGGGUAGGACAGGUUCGCUGUUGCCAAUGAUUGAUGUAUUCUGCCCUGUUGGGGAACAAUUUACUCAGCCUCCGUUAGUAGUGAUUUCUGUUCGCAGAAAAGCUCUGCAGUGACUGGGGCCAUUGACGGGUUUUCCUCAUCAGAGCUGGCUCUUUUUACAUCUCAGCCUAUAUAUAUUUUACCAGUGGGUGCUUAAAUCAGCACCCAGAGAUUGUUAUUGCAGAGGCUAGAACUAGAGUUGCUUUGCAGGAAAAGAGAGUAUCGACUGUACAGGCAUCAGCAUUAACAGCCCCAAGCAUAGAAAGUGCGCACCAUAGAAACAGACCAAACAUUUCCUCCAGCAAUUAUUCAAUUAGUUGUUUGAAGUAGUUUCCAAGCAUGCAAAUGUUUGAAUAGAUGAUCCUGAAUCUGAGCUUUCUUUGGGGGGAAGAGUGCAUCAUCAUGUGGUAUCUGAAUUCAAAUAUCUGGAAGCAAUGAGAUGCGCGAACCAAACCAAAUGUUGUGGGGGCGGGGGCAGUACGAGUUGAUUGGAUUUUGCAUUCAGUCUGGUCGUUCUCAGAAGCAGCAGAAUAUUUUAUGACAGAUUUUUUUCUCUCCCUUUUUCAGUGCAUCAGAUGGCACUGGACCUAUUACCUCAACAUUACGAGAAUUACUACCUUCAGAAUUUCUAUAUUUGCAUUUAACGAAGCCUUGCAGCUUGAAGUGGAGGGAGCUAUAAUACUCUGUGGUUAAGUUUUGCUUUUGUGGCUCGUACGUGCAGGACCUGAUGGGUCAUGUUCUGGGAAACCUUAAAAAGCCAAGAGGUGGAACGAAUUUCCCCGGAAAAUUGCAACAGGAGGCAAACGAGACGAGAUCAUGAGGUGCAUCGAUCGAUCUGAGAUAUGUUUGAGAUGAUAAGUAAUGUUGGAGGGUAAUACGUUUACUAUGAGCUAAUGGAAGUGGGGAUCUUGGAUUCUAACCGAUAUAAUGUAUCCUGAGCACUGUUUGAACUUCAUUGAUGACCGAUCUGGAAGCUCACCGACUGAGCAUUCCAAAGGAACGCCUAUGAGAGGAAAAGACAGAUGAUACUAAGGUUAUUGGAGGCUGGUAUUCCACCAUCGCAGGAGCUUGACUUCGCCAACUACUUGGAGGAAUCGAUCCUUCUAGAAGUUCGGCAUCAUCCUGUCUGUUUCGGUCUCCGCAGCAAGCACAUCACCAGGAGAUACGAAUCCUUGGUUGCCUACUUCGAAGAAAGAUUAAGCAUCAAACAAAUGAUCUCCGUCUGAAGCUCGGACUGAGGAAUACCAAACGAUUUCCUAUGUGGUCCAGCUGGGCUCCAUUGUCCAGCCCCGUCAUUCCAUCUAUCAGUCAUAUCACCAUCCAUUCCACAAUUGUGCAUCGAGAGAAUUUAUGACCACUGUCAGAGAUCUUUAAAACAUCUCACAUAGUCCCGUGUGAUGAGAUAUGAUCAUAAUGGUCCCUUGUCCU